rnacentral:rRNA from 1 species
GUCGAGACCAAAAUAGACUGAGAGAUUCAGAUAACUCAUGAACCAAGUGGUGACAGUCACUGUCACAAAAUAAACAUACAACCAUAGCCUCGUCUCUUCAUGGAGACAUGGUGAAGGUUGUAUGAAAACCCGAGCUAGCGCAAUAUCGCGCCAAGGUAAUGUGCAAAACAUAAGCCCCAGUAGGUCUGGUGGUAUGGAUUAUAUGACUCUCGGCAACGGAUAUCUCGGCUCUCGCAUCGAUGAAGAGCGCAGCGAAAUGCGAUACGUGGUGCGAAUUGCAGAAUCCCGUGAACCAUCAAGUCUUUGAACGCAAGUUGCGCCCGAGGCCAAUCGGCCAAGGGCACGUCUGCCUGGGCGUCAAGCGUUGCGUCACUUCCUGCCAUCACCACCCACCAUUGGGUGUGUUGGUGCAUGCUCGAAUGUGAAGAGUGGUUCUCCGUGUCCUUAGAUGCGGCGGACUGAAGAACGGGUUGUUGUCCUCCUGGCCACGAUAGACAAGGGGUGGACGGAAGCCACGAGCACGGCCAAACAGUGUCUCAUGUUGGCCUGAGGAAGAUUAUACAUCCCAAGUGAACCCAUACCCAUAUGCCGUACCGCAAGCGCCGGCUUGGAAUGCGACCCCAGG